rnacentral:rRNA from 1 species
UACGUAGGGGGCAAGCGUUGUCCGGAAUCAUUGGGCGUAAAGCGCGUGUAGGCGGCCCGGUAAGUCCGCUGUGAAAGUCGGGGGCUCAACCCUCGGAUGCCGGUGGAUACUGUCGGGCUAGAGUCCGGAAGAGGCGAGUGGAAUUCCUGGUGUAGCGGUGAAAUGCGCAGAUAUCAGGAGGAACACCAAUGGCGAAGGCAGCUCGCUGGGACGGUACUGACGCUGGAGGCGCGAAAGCGUGGGGAGCAAACAGG